CCGGGUGCCUAUACCGGAGGGGCCACACCCGUUCCCAUUCCGAACACGGAAGUUAAGCCCUCCAGGGCCGAUGGUACUGGGGCGUUACCGCCCUGGGAGAGUAGGUCGGUGCCCGGG
rfam:Thermodesulfobacterium commune DSM 2178, complete genome.